UUUUAAAAGAAAAUCGAAGAGAGUUUAUUUUUCCUUUUGGUGACUCUGUGGUAGAUGAGUAUUUUUGCCAAUUUGCAUGCUGGGUUAUAGGUUUAGCAUGGGCCAUUUCUCUCUUUAAUGUCUUGGUAUUGUUGGUGUCUUGCAAUCUUGAUGCCCCACAGUUUCAAUGUAUUUAUUUUCUUUUAUAUUGUCAAAAUAACACACUAGAGAAAGAACCAGAGUGAGCAUUCUGUAUCCUAAAUUACAAUGGAGUUAGGUGUCAUGUGUAUAGAACUGUAUAAUGAUUAAUAUCUGCAGAGAAAUUAGACCAAAUGAAGCCUGCUAGAAUAGGUUUGAUUUAUAUUGCCUUCAUCAUUCUGGUUUCAGACGAAAUGGUUAUUGCUCUCCACCCCUGCUGAAAGAAUAGUCUUAAACUUUAAUAAUCACAGCCUUGUGAUGCAAACACAGAGCUUAUUUAUUUGAAAUUUCUGAUCUUGCUGUGUACAUAGAAAUGGAGAUUCUUUUUCCAGUGAUCUCCAUUGCAGACUUUUUAGCAGUGUUUCUUAAUACUCAGGAUGCACAAAAAUCAUGCACAGCACUUGUAAAAAUGCAGAUUCCUUCAACCUAACUUCAAAGAGUCUGAUUCAGAAACUUGAAGCAGGGCCAAGAAAUUUGCAUUUUGACCUAGUCUCCUUAAUAAUUUUGAUGAGGAUUGUCUAUAGACCUUUCUUUGAAAAUUCUGCUGUUUAGGGAGUAUGGAGAGGUCAACAGUUCCUUUACUUCUUAGACGCACUUCCUCAUUUUCUCUUACUUUCUUCCCACUACAAACAAGUCAAAGCAUGAAUUAUUUAUUAUCUUAAGAGAAAACACCAAAAGAAAAGCAACCUAAGACUAGGGCAGAAUAGAUUUUCAUUAAUUCUUUGCCAUUUCAUCUGCUGUCUCUCAACCGUAACCCUUUCUCCAUAUAGUGUGUGUAUGUGUAUGUGUAUGUGUGUGUAUGUGUAUGUGAUUUU